rnacentral:ncRNA from 1 species
UUUGUGCUUGAAUUUCAAUAAUCUUUAAAAUGUUGAACAAAAUUUUAAACGAGAACAUAAAUCUUGUGUAGAACAAAAUUAUAAAAGCACAUUUGAUUUUGAUUUUCGGUACGAAUACAAAUUGUGAAAGCAUGACUUAUUGAUCCUUUAGUCUUUUAAAAUUUGAAGCUAGAG